GAUCGAUUAGCUGAGUAAAAGCUUGGCUAUCUUGUGGGCGAAUGUUUACGCCGAUUAAGCCCCAGUGUUUACCUGCUGGUUGAGCCAGUAAUCGAUCA
rnacentral:tRNA from 1 species